AAAUUCUUUCUUUAUUUCUUCAAAUCAAAUCCAUAACAUUUUUUACAGUGGUGUUUUCAUUCAAAAAUACAGUGUUCUGUCAUGUGUGCACAAAAAUGUCUGAGAUUACAGUUGGAGAUACAAAAUCUCUAAGCAGUCCUUUAAAAACAACAUAUACCCAAUGAAAGCAUAGUUUGGAGCAAUGUGGCAUUUCCUCCCAGACACAAAGGGGUGCUGCACCUGAGUGUGGAGUUUGGUUUCUAAGCCUGCACAGAGGCAAUAUCGGCACUUCAUGACCUACUUGCCCUCAUGGCUGAUGGGUUUGUUUGCAGACCCUGUACGUGAACGCACAAACAGAGUGUGUAAGAAGAGGAGGCAGGGACUGGAUUACAAUUGGACCGACCUCCUGGAUCUCAAUUUAUAUCCUAUUAUCAAGUGGACUGGUUAAGAGAUCAACUACUAACAAAUGGUUCCUUCAAGUUUCUGAUUAGCAGAAAACAAACUGUACAAAACUGUACAAAUGAGAUGCAGUGAAUAACUUUUAUUUCUAUGUCAUCGUCUGAUCAGUUUUCCAACAAAUCUCAGGCCUGCACUGAACAACAUUCCACUGU